rnacentral:rRNA from 1 species
GGGGAAUUUUGGACAAUGGGCGAAAGCCUGAUCCAGCCAUGCCGCGUGAGUGAAGAAGGCCUUCGGGUUGUAAAGCUCUUUUAGUUGGAAAGAAAGAAUUAUGGUUAAUAACUAUAAUUUAUGACGGUACCAACAGAAAAAGCACCGGCUAACUACGUGCCAGCAGCCGCGGUAAUACGUAGGGUGCGAGCGUUAAUCGGAAUUACUGGGCGUAAAGGGUGCGCAGGCGGCCAUGCAAGUCAGAUGUGAAAGCCCCGGGCUUAACCUGUGAAUUGCGUUUGAAACUGCAAGGCUAGAGUGCAACAGAGGGGAGUGGAAUUCCAUGUGUAGCAGUGAAAUGCGUAGAGAUGUGGAAGAACACCGAUGGCGAAGGCAGCUCCCUGGGUUGACACUGACGCUCAUGCACGAAAGCGUGGGGUGCAAAC